rnacentral:rRNA from 1 species
CGGCCGGACAAGUCCGUUGGGAAAUCCACGCGCUCAACGCGUGGGCGUCCAGCGGAAACUGUCCGGCUUGGGACCGGAAGACCCAGAGGGUACGUCCGGGGUAGGAGUGAAAUCCCGUAAUCCUGGACGGACCACCGGUGGCGAAAGCGCUCUGGGAAGACGGAUCCGACGGUGAGGGACGAAAGCUAGGGUCUCGAACCGGAUUAGAUACCCGGGUAGUCCUAGCCGUAAACGAUGCUCGCUAGGUGUGGCGCAGGCUACGAGCCUGCGCUGUGCCGCAGGGAAGCCGCGAAGCGAGCCGCCUGGGAA